rnacentral:rRNA from 1 species
UACGUAGGCAGCGAGCGUUGUUCGGAUUUACUGGGCGUAAAGAGUGCGUAGGCGGUUUUCUAAGUUUGGUGUGAAAUCUCCCGGCUCAACUGGGAGGGUGCGCCGAAGACUGGAAGGCUUGAGUAUGGGAGGGGUAAGCGGAAUUCCUGGUGUAGCGGUGAAAUGCGUAGAUAUCAGGAGGAACACCUGCGGUGUAGACGGCUUACUGGACCAUAACUGACGCUGAGGCACGAAAGCGUGGGUAGCAAACAGG